GAAGGAAAGCGUGGCGUUGAAGCCCCUGCGCGUGACCGAGCCAUCAGAGCUGAACUGCAGCACCAUCACGCUGUCGUAGGGUCAUGGGAUUGCUGGGUGUCUCCUGACUGCCUCUCGUCAGUCCUCAGAGAGGAAGAGAGAGAAUAACAGAGACAGAAGGAGAAUGUGAUGGAGAGAGAGUGAGGGUGACCGAGGCACUGAACCUGAGGGCAAAUCCUCUUCCUGUCACUGUGACAUCAGAGGCGAAGAGCACAGAUGCACCAUGGGAGUGGAGCAGCACGGGUCCAGGGAGGGGCUUCCGCAGCUGUCUGUUCGGUCUGCUACACAAACCCUCACACCCGACCAUCCCUCCCCAGAGCCAAACAAGGACAAACAAGCUCACAUGGACACAGUGAGAUCUUACUGGGAUUCAAGCAUUCAACCUACUAUGUGUCCUCAUGGGAGCUUCCAGGCCCCUGAUGGUGGUCUUGAUCCAGGGCAGGAGCAGGCUGACGUCAGUGAAGACCCCCGGGGA